UUGUUGAAGUGGUUCUGGCGGAGCGAAUUUUUCUGGGUUCUUUCCCGGAACACAAAAUCGGCAAGAUACCGGAUCUGGCCAAUCGGUGGUGGAGUUUUGGCCGAAGUCGGUGGUAGCCUCGGGGAAGCAGACCCAAGUAACCAUCCAGCACUAAAAGAAAUCAUAAAUUAGUUGGUAAACAGCAUUCACCAGCUAGUCAGUCAUAAAACAGCUAAGGUUUUUGCAAAUCAGCUCUAAGUCGACUUCUCUGAGAACAGCUGGAAUAGAGCUGAUUUACAGCGGUCACUAGAAACACUGUUAUUAUUUUUUCUAAAAAUCUGGCAUCACGUCUGCCAUUUUGAGUGAGAGUGAGAGAGAGUGAGCGGGAAGGAAAACAAAACAAUAAAAAGCUCUCGCUCACUCGUAGUGAAAUCAACAUGGAAAUAUCAGAACUGGGAAAAUCUGGACGCCUUUUCUUUACUGUUUUAGAAUCAACAGCUGUAUAAUGGACUUCCAAUGGACGGCGAGGAAACACCGCCCGUUGAAAACAGAAUCUGGCAUUGGCAGGUACGACGAUCCACGAAUUCUACGCUGAAUUGUUCGGAUUUGGAGGAAACUUCGUGGUGCCCCAGAUGCAGGUAUGCAGGAUGCAGGCGAAAGCAAGUUCCGUGUUUUAAGUUUGUGAUAAUUUAACUAUGCGAUGCGAGGUGCGACGUUGGAAUAUUAUCAAUAAAAAAUGGUUUUAAGCCUAAAUC